AGUAUGUGUAAUGUGUGUGUGUGUGUGUGUAUAUACACACACACACACACACACACACACACACAUAUA
rnacentral:miRNA from 1 species